UUUAUAUCUGCAGUGAAUACAUAUGUGCUAGAAAAGACUGUAUCUUUGGCAGGAUUUGGUGAUUAAAAAUUUAAAGGAUAAAUCAGUCAUAAUGGGCUUCUGCUGAUGGGUAAUGUUGGCAAAACAUUGCCAAUCUUCAUUGUCAGGAUAUAUGAUUAAGCCUUUCUGCAUGAAGAGUCACAAGACCAGUGUGAAGGUUGCAAUUUGUGUUUAUUUGGAUUUGAAACUCAGUUUUGAGGAGACUAGAGGCAACAUUUGGCUUAAAGAUGGAUCUUUGCUUCAAGAUCUGCAAGUUUGCAUUAAUUUCAUCUGCAUUUCUGUGUCUUGUCUGCCAAUCACCAUUUCUCUGCUCUUAUCCUUUUAAUCAUAUUUACUAACUCCAAUGCCAUCUGCCACUGCUAUGUUUCGUCAUUGCAUGCUAUGGUUCACCGGUAGAAAGGGUAAGGUACUGUAUAAUUGUUCUCAUUGCGGUUGGUACAGAACCCUUAAAUAUCUUUAACCACAGCAUUGGUAAAUGUUGUCAUGACAUUUUGUUUUAAAGUACCUCUUUUCUCCCGUCGUACAGUUAAGAUCAUGUAGUUGUCUCGUGGGUUAAAACCUUCAAUUAACAUCUAUUUGUCCUUCUCCUGGUACUCUCCCACCCCCACUACUUCUUUGAAAUGUAGAGUGAGGGAAGAAUUUUAUUUAUAACUGUCUUGUAUGGAGUUGGAAAAUGUAAGUAAAUAUUUCAGGGCUGUGUAUGUGACAGCAUUUACAUUUGUAUAACAUUGGAAUAUAUCUAUAACCUUCAUUGUGCUGUAUAGAUUUACAAAUUAAUAUUUCAAAAUCAGCAUGCAUUUUGAAUUGUUAAGGUGAAAUAAGAGCAGUAUUUGAGAAUGUAUUUCUAUAAUGUCAAAUGAUAAACAUUAGUCAUGCACCAUGUUUUUCAUUGGCAUAUGUAUUUUCUAUGCUACAGUACCUCCUAAAUGAUAUGGCUAUACUCUAGCUUCACUGCAUUAAGCUUCAUAAACCUUCCCUUUAUAAAGCUCUGCUGACAGCAAGACUUAACUCCUCUGUUCUCAAGGAUAGCUGAUAAAACACAAAGGAUCUAUGUCCAGUACAGCAAUUUCUUUCUUCGAACAGCUUUUUAAAAGUGCUUACAUUAAUUUGCUGAAGACUGUAACUUGGCCUAUAGCCAGCAAAUUGUGCUAAUGUUAAGGAAAAAAAUCAAUGUACACCACUGACUCUGUAUUUUCAAUUUACAGUAAAAAUUGUAAUCUCACAGCAUUUCAAUGUAAAACAAAUCUAGGCUUGUGGAAGUUUUCUUUUUUAAAACUAUAUAUUUUUAAAAUGUAUAAUACAUAUCCUA